rnacentral:rRNA from 1 species
AUGCAUGUCUAAGUACGGCUCUAGUACGGUGAAACUGCGAAUGGCUCAUUAAAUCAGUUUUGGUUCAUUUGAUCGUAAAAGUUUACAUGGAUAACUGUUGUAAUUCAAGAGCUAAUACACGCUAAGGGCGAGAGUCUUUGAUUCUCGUGCUUUUAUCGGAUUAAAAACCAAUCGUCUUCGGGCGUGCGUUAUGGUGAGUCUGGAUAAUUUUAGCUGAUCGCAUGGUCUUGAACCGGCGAUGGAUCAUUCAAGUGUCUGACCUAUCAACUGUCGAUGGUAGCGUAUUGGUCUACCAUGGUUGUAACGGGUAACGGAGAAUUAGGGUUUGGUUCCGGAGAGGGAGCCUGAGAAACGGCUACCACA